UGAUGAGGAGAUGCUACGGCAUUGAAGCAGUCUAUGUCAGACUUCCAAGAAAAGCUCGCACUGUCGUAAAUAAAUAAUGCCUGUACCAUAACCGACACAGGUGGGUAGGUAGAGUAUACUAAGGGGCGCGAGCUAACUCUCUCUAAGGAACUCGGCAAAAUGACUCCGUAACUUCGGGAGAAGGAGUGCCUUAUAUUUAAGGUUGCAAUAACAAUAUCCAAGCAACUGUUUACCAAAAACACAGGUCUCCGCUAAGUCGUAAGACGAUGUAUGGGGGCUGACGCCUGCCCAGUGCCAGAAGGUUAAAGAAGUUGGUUAGCAUUCGCGAAGCUGGUAACUGAAGCCCUGGUGAACGGCGGCCGUAAAGAUAACGGUCCUAAGGUAGCGAAAUUCCUUGUCGGGUAAGUUCCGACCUGCACGAAAGGCGUAAUGAUUUGGAUACUGUCUCGGAGAGGGGCUCGGUGAAAUAGACUUGUCUGUGAAGAUGCGGACUACCUGCACCUGGACAGAAAGACCCUAUGAAGCUUUACUGUAACUUGAAAUUGAAAUUGGACUUUAUUUGCGCAGUAUAGGUGGGAGGCGUUGAUUUUAUUCUUGCGGGAAUUUAGGAGCCAUCAGUGAGAUACCACUCUGGUAAUGUUAGAUUUCUAACUUUGUAUCAUGAUCUGGUCAAAGAACAGUUUCAGGCGGGCAGUUUGACUGGGGCGGUCGCCUCCCAAAUCGUAACGGAGGCGUACAAAGGUUUCCUCUGAACGUGUAGAAAUCGUAUCUAGAGUGUAAAGGCAUAAGGAAGCUUGACUGUGAGACCUACAAGUCGAGCAGGGACGAAAGUCGGUCUUAGUGAUCUGACGGUGCUGAGUGGAAAGGCCGUCACUCAACGGAUAAAAGUUACUCUAAGGAUAACAGGCUGAUCUCCCCCAAGAGUUCACAUCGACGGGGAGGUUUGGCACCUCGAUGUCGGCUCAUCGCAUCCUGGGGCGGUAGUACGUCCCAGGGGUUGGGCUGUUCGCCCAUGAAAGCGGUACGCGAGCUGGGUUCAGAACGUCGUGAGACAGUUCGGUCCAUAUCCGGUGUAGGCGUUAGAAUAUUGAGAGGAGCCUUCUUUAGUACGAGAGGACCGAGAAGGACAUACCUCUGGUGUACCAGUUAUCGUGCCAACGGUAAACGCUGGGUAGCUAUGUAUGGAGAGGAUAACCGCUGAAAGCAUCUAAGUGGGAAGCCCACCUCAAGAUAAGUAUUCUCAUCACGGAAGUGAGUAAGGUCACGGUAAGACUAACCGUUUGAUAGGCAUUAAGUGGAAAUGUAGUAAUAUACGAGCUGAGAUGUCCUAACAGAC
rnacentral:rRNA from 1 species